UACGUAGGGACCAAGCGUUGUUCGGAUUUACUGGGCGUAAAGGGCGCGUAGGCGGCAAUUCAAGUCAUCUGUGAAAUCUCCGGGCUUAACCCGGAACGGUCAGAUGAUACUGCUUUGCUAGAGUGCGGAAGGGGCAAUCGGAAUUCUUGGUGUAGCGGUGAAAUGCGUAGAUAUAUGGAAGAACACCAAUAACGGCGAAGGCAGUUAACUAUUCUGUUACUGACGCUGAGUCACGAAAGCGUGGGGAGCAAAACGG
rnacentral:rRNA from 1 species